CGGACGGGUGAGUAACGCGUGGGUAACCGUGCCUCAUACAGGGGGAUAACAGUUGGAAACGACUGCUAAUACCGCAUAAGCGCACAGGAUCGCAUGAUCCGGUGCGAAAAACUCCGGUGGUAUGGGAUGGACCCGCGUCUGAUUAGCCAGUUGGCAGGGUAACGGCCUACCAAAGCGACGAUCAGUAGCCGACCUGAGAGGGUGACCGGCCACAUUGGGACUGAGACACGGCCCAA
rnacentral:rRNA from 1 species